rnacentral:rRNA from 1 species
UACGUAGGUGGCGAGCGUUGUCCGGAUUUAUUGGGCGUAAAGCGCGCGCAGGCGGCUGCCUAAGUCUGCGGUGAAAUCUCCCUGGCUCAACCGGGAGGGGGCCGUGGGAGACUGGGCAGCUGGAGGGACCUAGAGGCCGGUGGAAUUCCCGGUGUAGUGGUGAAAUGCGUAGAGAUCGGGAGGAACACCAGUGGCGAAGGCGGCCGGCUGGGGGGUGCCCUGAGCUGAGCGCGAAAGCGUGGGGGAGCGAAACCGGUUAAGAA